GGCCGGCCAGCUCAGUCGGUAGAGCACGAGACUCUUAAUCUCAGGGUCGUGGGCUCAUGCCCCACGCUGGGCG
rnacentral:tRNA from 1 species